CCAUAAUACAUUAAUGUAUAUCGUG
rnacentral:piRNA from 1 species